UUCGGGCGCCGGCGAGUGGCGAACGGGUGAGUAACACGUGGAGACCUAUCCUUUGGUGGGGGACAACAGCUGGAAACGGCUGCUAAUACCGCAUACGCCCUACGGGGGAAAGAUUUAUUGCCGAAGGAGGGUUCCGCGUCGGAUUAGCUAGUUGGUGGGGUAACGGCCUACCAAGGCGACGAUCCGUAGCUGGUCUUAGAGGAUGAUCAGCCACACUGGGACUGAGACACGGCCCAGACUCCUACGGGAGGCAGCAGUGGGGAAUAUUGCGCAAUGGGGGAAACCCUGACGCAGCGAUGCCGCGUGGGUGAAGAAGGCCUUAGGGUUGUAAAGCCCUUUCAGUGGGAACGAUAGUGACGGUACCCACAGAAGAAGCCCCGGCUAACUCCGUGCCAGCAGCCGCGGUAAUACGGAGGGGGCGAGCGUUGUUCGGAAUUAUUGGGCGUAAAGCGCGCGUAGGCGGUUUAUCAAG
rnacentral:rRNA from 1 species